rnacentral:lncRNA from 1 species
GACGAAAAAGAAAAUAUAAAUAAAAAAACAGAUCAACAAAGCGAUAAUAAUUUGAGUAAUAACUAUUUUGAUCAUAAUAAAAAUGAUGUAAAAUGUAAAAAUGUAGAUAAAGAAAUAAAAAAAAAUAAUAAUUCUGACGAAAGUAGUAAAAAUAAAAAUAGUAAACAAAGCGAAGUAACAAAAUUGAAUGAAAAUAUAUUUCAUAUAGAACGUUUAAUGGAAUCAUGUACAAAUUACAACGAUUAUGUAAAAUAUGCAUAUUAUAUGGAUGUACUAACAGGUAAAUCAAUUCACAUUAAUGAAAACGAUGAUUAUAUCAAUAUGUAUGAUUUAAAUUUAUUAAAAAAAACUUCAGAAAAUAUAAAAAAUAAUUUAAAAAAUGAGGAUUUAUUAUUGUUAUUAGAGGAUAUAAAAAUGGCUACCUCUAUUCGAAUUAAAAAUAUAUUUCAAGAAAAAUAUUAUAGUAAAACAUAUUCAAGCCCUCAUAUUAUACUUAUAAUUUUUGUUAACAAUGUUAUGAAUGCUUUAAAUUAUAUAGAAAAUUAUGUAAAAAAAGAAAAAAAAAAUAAUAAUACAUAUAUAUAUUCGGAUGAAUAUUUACUUAUAAAAAAAUAUUUUAAAGAAAUAUUUAAACAAUGGGGAAACACAGCUUUAUUUCUGAGUGGUGGUGCAAUAUUAGGAUUGCACCAUUUUGGUGUUAUUGAAUCUUUUUUAAAAUGUUCAAUUAACUAUGAUUAUUUUCAAAAUAUGACUAGUUCAUAUUUAAAUGAUAAAUAUGACACUUUUCAUAAUGUAGGUGAUGGUGGUUAUGAUGGUUAUGGUAGUGAUGGUGAUGAUAUACAUGACGUUACCUACACUAGAAAAAAAAAAAAAAAAAAAAAAAAAAAAAAAAAAAAAAAUUUUGUAGAAAAAUAUGAAGAUAAUAUAUUACCUCAAAUUAUAUGUGGGACAUCAGCUGGUAGUAUUAUAGCUGCUUGGGUAUGUACUAGGACAAGUAAAGAAAUAGCCGAAGAAUUUAACAUCGGAUUUAUUUAUAAAAUUGUAUCUUGUUUUACAACACAAAACUCUUUUUAUUCAUUUUUUAAUAUUUACAAAAAAGGUAGUUUUUAUGAUAUUGAUCAUAUGGUAAAACUUAUAUAUGAUUUGUUUGGAGAUUUAACUUUUUUAGAAGCUUUUCUUAAAACAAAAUUAGUUUUAAAUAUUACUCUUACUAGAGCUGAAUCAGAAAAUAAUAAUUUUGCAUGUAAUGAAGAUGGUAUUUUAGUAUUAAAUUACAUUAAUGCUCCUAAUAUUUUAGUUUAUACUGCAGUUUUGGCUAGUUGUUCUUUCCCAUACCUAUUACAACCUUUUAAAUUGUUAGAAAAAAAAUAUAAUAACGAAAAUGUUUAUCGAUUUAUACCUAUGCAAGAAACAAUUAAAACAAAUUCUAUUAUUAACACUAUUAGACAUUUGAAUUUUUAUAAUACAAGCUUAAUUACAAAAAGCAAACUGAUAUCUUUUCAUAAUAACAAAUUGGGUCAUAAUCAUGAAUUAUCUGACAAAAACAAAGAGAUGGACGAUUUAUUAUUAAAAAGUAACACGAAAUAUGUAAAAAGUUCUAACAAUAAAAAUUUGUGUAAGCUUAAAACGAAUAGUACAAAUUAUAAUGAUGAAAUAAAAAAAAAAAAAAAAAAAAAAAAAAAUUCUAUUGAAUUAUAAUAGUGACACGUAUACAAAAAAGGCAUCAAACACAAAAACUACAAUUUUGAAAAUAAAUACCUUAACAAACAAUAAUGAUGAAAAAUU